GUAGAUUUUAUAAAGGCUUCUUAGAUGCUCAGAUUUGGUGGUUAACACUCUAUAUACUGGAAACCCACAGACUGGAGCAAAGGCUUUUGGGCUGGAGCCAGUUUUUUUGCUUGCUUUACUUCCCUGGUGGUCAAGCUGACCAGUUCUGAAGGUAAGGUUGGCAAGUGGCUCUGUGUUAACUCCUUCCUCAUAUGUCUUGGGAAUGCACCCAUCAGGAAAAAUUCCCUGGCGCUCCCUGAAGACCUCGGAACACAUCUAUUCUUGAGCAAAGAACACGCCUUAAAUCUAUGGACUGAGUGAACAAAGAUUGCAUGAAAACACAAAAAGCAAGCUCUAUCUUUAAUGAUAAAAAAAAAAAAGUUUAAAAAUUAUGAAUUCUGUAAAGAGAGAAACAAAUAUGCCCAGAAUACCCAGAGACUUCAGUCAAUGAUCAGUUAACUGGAAAUAAUGGCUAAAUUUCAGGAAAUGUGAAAUAUGAUUCGAUUUGUUUAUGCCUCAGGUGUGACACUUACAUCUUUUAAUCAUUACCUGCAAGCUUUGCAAAUAUUUUAAGACUCAACCUGUCCUUUCUGCAUGCAGACCUCCAGAUCCUCAGCUGCUACAAGAUUUGUAACUCAAGAAUGUCUGUAAUGAAGCAACUUACAUACAAUAUAUAGUUUUAUUUUCAUGUCCACUUUUUGGUACCAUUUUUGGUAUUUUGAGACACUGGUCUGAAAGCCUCCCCAGGGACCAGCCAUCUCCAGCUGGUGGCAGAGCAGUUUGAAUGCUUGGCCACAAGCUGGGGACAAGGACAGCUUGGGCUGCAGCUCCCUGGAGGCUGGGGCAGCAUCUGACAGAGUUAUUCCUGUGUAUUAUUCCUGUG
ensembl:lncRNA